UCCUGGCUCAGGAUGAACGCUAGCGGCAGGCCUAAUACAUGCAAGUCGUACGGGAUCCCCGUCCCUCGGGAGGGGGUGAGAGUGGCGGACGGGUGCGUUACGCGUAUGCAACCAACCCCCCGACGGGCGUACAGCCGGUGGAAACGCCGGGUGAUGCGCCAUGCGGCCUCGGGAGGGCAUCCUCCUGAGGCGAAAGCCUACGGGCGGCCGGGGACGGGCAUGCGUGCCAUUAGCUAGUCGGCGGGGCGACGGCCCACCGAGGCUACGAUGGCUAGGGGAUCUGAGAGGACGGUCCCCCACACUGGUACUGAGACACGGACCAGACUCCUGCGGGAGGCAGCAGUAAGGGAUAUUGGGCAAGUGGGGGGAACCCUGACCCAGCCAUCGCCGCGUGAGGGAAUGAGGCCCUACGGGUCGUGAACCUCUUUUGCCGGGGACAACCGCGGAGUCGCGAACUCCGCCUGCCGGGUACCCGGCGAAUAAGCAUCGGCUAACUCCGUGCCAGCCGCUGC
rnacentral:rRNA from 1 species